rnacentral:lncRNA from 1 species
UUAAGAUUUUUCACUACUCAAAGUAUAUAAAGGAGUGCAUACCCGAGUAUCAUAACAUCGUCAGCAAUAUUCAGUAAACUUGCGGAUCUGUAUCGCAGAAGUGAGUAAACUGUAAGGAUGUCGAAGUUAAUCGUACUUGUUGUUCUAGUGGCCGUCCUGGGGAGCGUCAUGUGCCAGUAUAUUGAUACCAAUGACCAACCAGACUACCUUAAUGGUUAUCGGUCUCAAUUACUUCUUAAAACUAUACUGCUAACACGAGGAGCUUUUGACGGCGACUACUGCGUACCACCCAAGGUGCGAGUUGGCGAUAUAUGCGUUAAAAAGGAUUAAUAACAGCCAUUAAAACCCAAAUGCUGGUUGCAAA